AAUAGAUACCCGGGUAGUCCACGCCGUAAACGAUGAGUGCUAAGUGUUAGAGGGUUUCCGCCCUUUAGUGCUGCAGCUAACGCAUUAAGCACUCCGCCUGGGGAGUACGGUCGCAAGACUGAAACUCAAAGGAAUUGACGGGGGCCCGCACAAGCGGUGGAGCAUGUGGUUUAAUUCGAAGCAACGCGAAGAACCUUACCAGGUCUUGGCAUCCUCUGACAACUCUAGAGAUAGAGCGUUCCCCUUCGGGGGACAGAGUGACAGGUGGUGCAUGGUUGUCGUCAGCUCGUGUCGUGAGAUGUUGGGUUAAGUCCCGCAACGAGCGCAACCCUUGAUCUUAGUUGCCAGCAUUUAGUUGGGCACUCUAAGGUGACUGCCGGUGACAAACCGGAGGAAGGUGGGGAUGACGUCAAAUCAUCAUGCCCCUUAUGACCUGGGCUACACACGUGCUACAAUGGAUGGUACAAAGGGCUGCAAGACCGCGAGGUCAAGCCAAUCCCAUAAAACCAUUCUCAGUUCGGA
rnacentral:rRNA from 1 species